UCAUGAUGGCAUGUUCUCGGAGAACUAAAGCGCUGCUUAAAAUUAAACGACGAUCGUAUUGGCAUUCUUCAGAAAAUUUCUCCAUGUGUCAUCAAGAUCACUACCGCGCCGUACAUGGGCCUCUAUUUCUUAGACUCUUCAAAGCACGCUUCACGUGUCACUAUGUCCUUUUCUGGCUCUUCAUUGUUAAGGUUUGCGCAGGCAUUGUCGUGUACCCAAAGCUUCUGGAAAGCAGGGCAGAUGAUGGCCGCCUCAUCUUACACGUUCACGAUAAUAUGGUCCUCACUCUGGAAAAGAGCUCUAUACUGGGAAAGCAUUUACACUUUGUGUCUUCGGCUCUUGAAGAUUCCCAUACAUCUAUACUAAACGGGGAAGAACUGCAAAGGAACUUGUAUCAUGAUAUCACGCAUACGUCGUCUCUGAUCGUUAACAGUGCAGGAGGCCGGCUACACGUGCGAGGAAUUCUCGCUCACAAGUUUAGGAUAGCCCCAGUGGCAGUGUCAAGUCGUUCCAGUACUGGAGACACUGCACAUGAGAUCACAGAAAUCCCGGAAAGUUCAC